UGAGUCUAUAUCUACUUUUCACUCCUUUGUUAUAUAUGAAACCCAUAUUUUAUCUAUAUUUCAUUAAAUUUUGCUUUGAUUUUAUUAAUGAUAAUUUUCCAUCUGAAGCCACUCAUCUGAUCAAGUGAUAAUAGUUGUUUUCCGAUUAAGUACAGUAAGAACAACAUGAUGUUAUCAGCCAACAUAAUAUUCUAACUAGAAAAAUGAAAUGAUGGUCCAUUGUCUUUCAACUUCCGGAGGUCUCUUAGCUACAUCUCAUCUUAGGUAAACUCCCUCAGGCAAAGUUGGCUAUAGAUGGAUUUGGCUUUUAAAUUAAGUAAUUUUUGGUCAUAUAUAUAGCUCUUCAACUGAUUUGGUUCUUAUAAAUCCUUGGCUUUCUAAUAUCUGGCUUUGAGUGUUCCUGAGGAAGGCAAAUCCAGAAAAGCAAUUUGAAAGCAUGAAAUUUAUUGAAAAAAGUAUUGUUUUCAUUUUUGAGGGUUAUCGCUUUGAUGAGAUUGUAGCUGAGAAACUUCCUUUGCCUUUCAGAACCCUACUAAAAUUACAUUUUGUACUAAAAAGUGGCUUAUUGUACAAAAAAUGGCUCCAUGACAAUAUCUGCUUUGUUGUCAGAUACAAUUUAUUGUAUGUAGGUGCAUGUGGCAUUAAUCAGCUUUCAAUAUUGUGAAUUCUUAAUAAGGAAACUCAACUUUAACAUAAUAAGUCUUCAGGCCUCCAAAUAAAUCAAAAAUAAUAAUUUCAGUAUUAAAUCAGGGCAAAAAUUUAGAUUAUUAAUAUAAUAUUGUGUAUUUACUUUAAAUAGGAAAUAAAGAAUUGGAUAAAGGACACUU
rnacentral:lncRNA from 1 species